ACACUUUUUUUGAGAACCAGUGGUUAAACUGGCUAGGGGAAGUGUAGACAGACCCUAAUGUUUUCCACCAAUUUUGCACAAGCACUCCACCUGCUUUUCACACCUCCACAUAGAGGAUCCGUUUUGACCAAACCCAGAACUUGGUUCAUUCUGAAUUAUGCUUGGUAGAUAGGGAUCAGCAUUACAGCCCCAUUCAGGAGCAGCUACAAACGAACCCAAAAGCCUAGGCUCCAACUAAUGAAGGUUGAUCCAGCUACUGCUGCCUCUGAAUAUACAACCUGACAGCAACAAAGACCAAGGUUAAAUCUGCAUGCAUCAAGAAGAAAGUUGAUGUCUUAAUUUACAAGAAGCUUGGAGGACAUAUUCAAUCCAGAAAAAUUGAAAGUGGGAUCUUGGUUUGAGUUCAUCAUAAUUGCCACCCAAAAGACCACUUCUUUAAGCUCAUGUCUUGCCUCAAAGGCAUUGAGCUCACAUUACACCAGCCCAAGCCAGGAAGGUUCUGUCAACCCAUCUAUCAGCUUUUAUGGGGUGAGGACCUCUGGGAACAUGGAAACCACUC